ACAUACGAGGUUCCCUUUGAGGGAGCUCUUUCACCCCAACUCUCUUCAUGUUUUCCCACAAAGCUCAAGAAAACUAACUUGGGUGUUGGAGUGCUUCCGGCCAAAUGACAGACGGCCUACUGACAACCCCUUCCCUCUUUUGCCAUAAGGAGAUCUGUUGAGUGAGCUUCCUCAUUUGCUUAUCCAAGUUGUAGGUCAUUUUGGAUUUAGAUGAGUUUAGAGGGGUCAACAUUGGACUUUGGGUGCUUUUAUUAGGCGCGAGAGUUGCACAUGGAGAUCCACAAGCAUGGACUUGGUCAACAGGCUAUGGGUGGGGGAUCUUUUGCUUCUUCUAAUGACAAGUAUGACUGACAGCGUGGCGGAUGGCCUUGCACAAUGGUGCCCUUAAAAUGUUGUGCUACACCCAAUUGGACAAGAUGAGCAAUGGGUAGUCUAUGGCUUAUUUGUCCAACAAAUUUGCAUUGUCUCAACUGUUAGUUACAACUUUUUAGCAUUUGAUGUUCUGAGCAUUCCGGCAGCCAAGACAAGUAAUAAUUGAAACAGUCGCAAGAUAUGCAUACCAAAUGCAGUCUACGUAACAAACAUUGUAAUUAAACAUACUUGAAACUACUACAAUGACUAUCUUUUAUAUGUA